rnacentral:rRNA from 1 species
AGAGUUUGAUCCUGGCUCAGAACUAACGCUCGGUGGCGUGUCUUAGUCAUGCAAGUCGAACGAGAAAGCCCUCUUCGGAGGGUGAGUAGAGUGGCGAACGGGUGAGUAACACGUGGGUAACCUGCCUCUAAGUCGGGGAUAACACUUCUAACGAGGUGCUAAUACCGGAUAGUAAGACGAGACGCAUGUCUUCGUCUUUAAAGGGGCCUCUGCUUGCAAGCUGUCGUUUGGAGAUGGGCCCGCGUCGUAUUAGCUAGUUGGUGGGGUAAUGGCCCUACCAAGGCGAUGAUGCGUAGCCGGCCUGAGAGGGUGAGCGGCCACACUGGAACUGAGACAAGGUCCAGUCCCCUACGGGGGCCAGCAGUCUAGAAAUUUGCACAAUCGACGAAAGUUGGAUGCAGCGACGCCACGUGGAGGAUGAAGCCCCUCGGGGUGUAAACUCCUGUCAGAAGGGAAGAAGGCGCGAGUGUUAAUAUCACUCGUUGCUUGACGGUACCUUCAAAGGAAGCUCCGGCUAACUACGUGCCAGCAGCCGCGGUAAUACGUAGGGAGCGAGCGUUGUUCGGAUUUACUGGGCGUAAAGGGCAGGUAGGCGGGUACGCAAGUCAGUUGUGAAAUCCUCUGGCUCAACCAGAGAAUUGCAGCUGAAACUGCAUACCUUGAGUUCAGCAGAGGGAAUCGGAAUCCUAGGUGUAGCGGUGAAAUGCGUAGAUAUCUAGGAGAACACCAGUGGCGAAGGCGGAUUCCUGGGCUGACACUGACGCUGAGCUGCGAAAGCGUGGGGAGCGAACAGGAUUAGAUACCCUGGUAGUCCACGCCGUAAACGAUGGGUACUAGGUGUUGGAGGAUAUUGACCCCUUCAGUGCCGUAGCUAACGCAUUAAGUACCCCGCCUGGGGAGUACGGCCGCAAGGCUGAAACUCAAAGGAAUUGACGG